rnacentral:rRNA from 1 species
AAGAAAGCGUCAAAGCUCACUAUUACUUAAUAUCACCAAUCUCUUAAACCCCCAUAAACCCUCUACCCGUAUUGAACGACCCCAUAAAUUAUGGAAGACACCCUGUUUGAACUAGUAAUAAGAAUCCGAAAUUCUCCCAGAUGUAAUCAUAAGCCGACUAUCGGACAUCCCAACGGCACUUAAAGUAAAUGAACUUGUUGCAAUAACUAUUACAAAAAACUUGCAAUAAUAAACGUUAACCUAACACAAGAACAUCCAAGGAAAGAUUAAAAAAGAGAGAAGGAAUUCGGCAAACCUCUAACCCCGCCUGUUUACCAAAAACAUCGCCUCUUGAUAAAUUAUAAGAGGUCCAGCCUGCCCAAUGAUCAAUUAAAUGGCCGCGGUACCCUAACCGUGCAAAGGUAGCAUAAUAAUUUGUCCCUUAAUUGGGGACUAGUAUGAACGGCACCACGAGGGUUAAACUGUCUCCUCUCUUUAAUCAAUGAAACUGACCUCCCCGUGAAAAGGCGGGGAUUUAAAUACAAGACGAGAAGACCCCAUGGAGCUUUAGACCUAAAGCACAUUUAAACCACAACUUCACCAAAUACCAAAACCCCUGACUCCAAGUCUUAGGUUGGGGCGACCAUGGAGUAUAACCCAACCUCCAUUUUGAACGGAUAUUAUCCUAAUCUAAGAGCCACAACUCCAAGAAUCAAAAAACUGACACCCACUGACCCAAAAUUUGACCAUCGAACCAAGUUACCCUGGGGAUAACAGCGCCAUCCACCUCAAGAGCCCAUAUCGACAGGUGGGUUUACGACCUCGAUGUUGGAUCAGGGUAUCCAUGUGGUGCAGCCGCUACAUAAGGUUCGUUUGU